UGGGGAAUAUUGGACAAUGGGGGCAACCCUGAUCCAGCGAUGCCGCGUGUGUGAAGAAGGCCUGCGGGUUGUAAAGCACUUUAGUAGGGGAGGAAAGGUUUUUAGGUUAAUACCCUGAGACGAUGACGUUACCCCAAGAAUAAGCACCGGCAAACUCUGUGCCAGCAGCCGCGGUAAUACAGAGGGUGCAAGCGUUAAUCGGAAUCACUGGGCGUAAAGGGUGCGUAGGCGGUCAGAUGUGUUAGGUGUGAAAGCCUGGGGCUUAACCCAGGAACUGCGUUUGAUACUGCCAUGCUUGAGUUCGGUAGAGGGUAGUGGAAUUCCCGGUGUAGAGGUGAAAUUCGUAGAUAUCGGGAGGAACACCAGUGGCGAAAGCGGCUACCUGGACCGACACUGACGCUAAGGCGCGAAAGCGUGGGGAGCAAACAGGAUUAGAUACCCCAGUAGUCCCUGAGCGGGCUGGCAAGGCGCAU
rnacentral:rRNA from 1 species